UCGCAAGCUCUCUCACCUCUCUCACCGUUACGUUCCACGUACAAAACCCGCUAUACCUAUACCGCACAUCUUCCCGUGCUCCCUAUGACUGUGUAUACCCUAGCUUGUGUAUAUAGGACACGUACAUACAAACUCCGCCCGGCGCAGGCUCCAAAAUCUCUAUGGUAUAUAAGAUAUAUGAAGUAGACGAGGUGGGAACGAGAGUGAGGAGCGAAAGCUCGGAAAAAUCGGGAACGAGAAGUAGAGGGGAGGAAAAAAAGGCGCGUACCCGGAGGUUCGCGAGUCACGCGAGUCUUAUACUUUCAUUUUCAAUCUUGUCAACUUAUCCCGCCGUAAAAGACAACGGAAGAGGAGAAUAAAUGGGAAAUAAAGCGAAGCAGUGUCGUGGAAAAUUGCGAGACAGCAUUUCAAAUAUACCGUACUCAUGGAGAAUACUUCUACCUGUACUUCGAAAAUAGAAACAGAAAAACGGCGAAGAAACUAAAAGAAAAAGAAAAAAUGAGAUGGAAAGAGGUAAAAAGUUUGAGAAGAGUACAAUUUCGUCGACCAUCUUAAUCGAAAUUUUGGUGAGACAAAACCGUUUCCCUCUCCGUAAACCAAAAGGUAAAAUCGAAAAACAAUGACAAUAAGAAGUCGUCUGGUGCCUCGGGAAUCCUCAGAACCGUCUAAACAAUGGCUCGAGACUAGAUAGUGAAUCGUUUUGGGAUGAAUUCUAUUUUUUUUUCCCCCUUUUUGCCUUUUCGUUUUUGACGAGAGCAGUGAAAAGGAGAAUAAACUCGCGUUGUGUAUGAGAAAAUAAUAACGAUUCCGAAGACGAUUCUCAUUCCGGAGAUACCGCGCGCGAAUUCGGCGACUAUAAUACAACCGGCGUUACCCCUGUGGACGGGACGAAAAUUCUGGACACCCAUACCUAGAACAAUUCCAUGGCGAAAACGAUCAGCGACAAACAACGAACGAGAAGUAUUGCACCCCCCGGCUAUACGGUUACGUGACCAUCCCUGUCCCUCCGGCCCACGACUCACCCUCUCUUCCCUCCUCCACCCCCCUUCGUUCUCCGAUCUCAGAUUUUCUUCUUCUUAUUCUUAGUCUUUGUGGUAUGUGUAGUUUCUCGUUGUUAUAUACAUACUACAUAUAUGUACACUGUACACGGAUAUUAAUAUCCGAGGGGGCUGCAGAAAACACACCACAUUGCACACAGCAAAUUCGCUAGAUUAUAUUAAACAUUGCUCAAUGGGGAUAUCGCCGAAGGGUUGUUUCGCGGAGAAGGUUCUAACGUUACUCCUACGUACGAGGAUACGGUGGCUGAGAAUGAUGGAAUAAAAUAAUUUUCAUCUUUACUCUAUUUAUACUCCCGGGCACGGGUGCGAAUUCGUUUGCGAAAAAUGGGCGGGUGAAAUCCAAGAGAAGGAAAAGAGGACAACGAAUUCACUAAAGUCGAAUCUGCACCGAGCGUAUCAUACCCUUGGAGAAAUGCAGAGUUUGACUUUCGCCCCCCGGCGUACGGGUAUUUAAAGGGGACGCUGGACCGAACGGAUGUUUUCUCGUCCCUCGAAACAAUUUACACCGUUUUCAAACGUUUCGGGGGUGGAUUGAGAAAAAGAAGGGAAAAAAACACGUUCCAAAAGCGUGUGCAUUUUUUCCGGCUCACGUUGGUAUUCGAAAACGUUGGAGUCCUAUAGAAAAAAAAAAAAUGCACUUGAGGGAUUGAAAAAAAAGACAUCGCUUUCCGAAAGCCGUUUGGAGGAAUUUUUUGAAAUACGUAACAAUUUUUUUCAUUCAAAUUUGAUCAUUACACGGGGGGAAAAAUAUAGCGGAUAGAGAGACAAGAAUAAAAGAGGGGAAGAAAAAAAUUAACGAAAAAAAGAAAGGAAGUGGUAAAAAAAAAAAAAAAAGAACGAAUUAGCAGACGUUUCGUUUGACGACGUUUGCACAUUUCGCGAUCACGUUGGAAUUGAAUAGACAAGCUGCAGACACCCUGUGUGCAUAGAGGAUAUGGAUAAUUUUUUUUUUUUCUCCUUUCUUUCUUUCUUUCUUUUUGUUUUUUUCUUCUUCUAUUUCCCUUCGGUUUUUUUCAUUUUUUACUCUUUUUCAGAUUUGCUUCGCCGAUAUGACACCAUCUGUAUGUGUACAAGACGUACGUGUGCGUACACGUUGGUGUACACAGGCUACCGUCAGAUGUGCCGUGAAAAUGCACGUUCGUACGUACAUACGUAACAGGCAGCGAGGGGUAGAAAUGGGUCGUCAAAACUGCGCCCACCUUACAACAUCGUCCCUCAAACGAGUGGCUGAAUCCGAAGGAAAUGAAAUAGAUAACGUAGCGAGAGAGAAGAGGAAAGAGCUUCGUUGGCUAUAGAUAAAAGAGCGACGUCUAAUAUCAUCAUCCCCCGUUUCCUCUCUCUCUCCCUCUCUUUCUCUCUCUCGCUUUCUCAGCCCCUUCCCCCGUACGUAUAGAUCGAAAGGGGAGUCUAAGAAAGCUGAAGAGGAGAACAGCCUAAUCUUGUAAAUGUGAGACAAUUUUAUCCGCGUUUAAGGAGCGCACCGGAGACACAUAGCGUGUAUAUUUCUUUGGGGUUGCCAGAAGGGGUGUCGACCUGCCUAACCUCACCUGACCCAACUUCUCGUUCGACGGGACUGCCUCGUACACAAGUAAAAUGUAUAGCUGGGACCGACGAAACUGGGACCACCUUUGGAGCUUUAGUUUGGUUUACACUAUGUGAAUAUAUAUAUAUGUAUAUAUACACACAGUUACAUAAGCUUGUAUGUAUUUACCGCUAGGGAUGAAGAGGGGGUGAUAAGGAGGCGGGGAAGAGGAAGAGAAGGGGGA